rnacentral:rRNA from 1 species
UACGGUGGGAGCAAGCGUUGUUCGGAUUUACUGGGCGUAAAGGGCGCGUAGGCGGCGCAACAAGUCACUUGUGAAAUCUCCGGGCUUAACCCGGAGCGGCCAAGUGAUACUGUCGUGCUAGAGUGCGGAAGGGGCUACUGGAAUUCUCGGUGUAGCGGUGAAAUGCGUAGAUAUCGAGAGGAACACCUGCGGCGAAGGCGGGUAGCUGGGCCGACACUGACGCUGAUGCGCGAAAGCCAGGGGAGCGAACGGG